rnacentral:rRNA from 1 species
GAUGAACGCUGGCGGCGUGCCUAAUACAUGCAAGUCGAGCGAACAGACGAGGAGCUUGCUCCUUUGACGUUAGCGGCGGACGGGUGAGUAACACGUGGGUAACCUACCUAUAAGACUGGGAUAACUUCGGGAAACCGGAUCUAAUACCGGAUAAUAUUUCGAACCGCAUGGUUCGAUAGUGAAAGAUGGCUUUGCUAUCACCUAUAGAUGGACCUGCGCCGUAUUAGCUAGUUGGUAAGGUAACGGCUUACCAAGGCAACGAUAGGUAGCCGACCUGAGAGGGUGAUCGGCCACACUGGAACUGAGACACGGUCCAGACUCCUACGGGAGGCAGCAGUAGGGAAUCUUCCGCAAUGGGCGAAAGCCUGACGGAGCAACGCGGCGUGAGUGAUGAAGGUCUUCGGAUCGUAAAACUCUGUUAUUAGGGAAGAACAAACGUGUAAGUAACUGUGCACGUCUUGACGGUACCUAAUCAGAAAGCCAUGGCUAACUACGU